UAAGCGAGAAGCUUAUUUGCUCACUAUUGCUAGAAGUAAUACUUGAAACCUUAGAAGAGGAAAACUGCUCCUUUUCCCUUUGCCACGUCAUGUUCUGCUGGAUCUGUUAUCAUACCCUGGCAUAUAUGUCUCCACCACUGGGCGGGUGGUGCCUUCUGGUCUCAGAACAAGUUGUACAAGAAGCCCAGCUCCUCCAGAGGCUCUUCCAGAGAACCUUGACAUUAGCUGCCUGAUUUCUGCUGAUGAUCUGUGGAUGUUCAAGUCAAACACAUUUUUGCUGGAACAUAAGCCAACUUUGUGACAACUUGUCAGCAG